AAUCAACGCUGGCGGCGUGCCUAACACAUGCAAGUCGAACGCGAAAGUGGAGCAAUCCAUGAGUAGAGUGGCAAACGGGUGAGUAACACGUGGGCGACCUGCCUUCGAGUGGGGGAUAACUUCCCGAAAGGGGAGCUAAUACCGCAUGACAUACCGUGUUUCGAUACACGGAUAUCAAAGCUGGGGAUCGUAAGACCUGGCGCUUGAAGAGGGGCCCGCGUCCGAUUAGCUAGUUGGUGGGGUAAUGGCUCACCAAGGCUCCGAUCGGUAUCCGGUCUGAGAGGGCGGACGGACACACUGGAACUGAGACACGGUCCAGACUCCUACGGGAGGCAGCAGUGGGGAAUUGUUCGCAAUGGGCGCAAGCCUGACGACGCAACGCCGCGUGGAGGAUGAAGAAUUUCGGUUCGUAAACUCCUUUCGACCGAGAUUGAACACCCGCCGAUUUAAUACAUCGGCGGACUGACAGUAUCGAGAGAAGAAGCCCCCGG
rnacentral:rRNA from 1 species